UUGGUUGGUGAUCCACGCUCUGAUAGGUGAUACUGGGUGGGAGUAAUCUGUCGUAUUCUAUUGAGUUAUGAAUUAAUUUAGAUUUUUGUAAAUUUGAUCGAUCAAUGAUGUUAUUUUUAUCUUUUAUUCGGAUGUAGAAAUUAAUUGUCUCUAAGUUUAGAACGUGUUUUCAUGUCAGAAAAUUUUAUUUAAUAAACCUCAACUAUAUUUGAUAUUAAAG
rnacentral:lncRNA from 1 species